rnacentral:rRNA from 1 species
UACGUAGGGGGCGAGCGUUGUCCGGAUUCAUUGGGCGUAAAGCGCUUUAAGGCGGUUCGGUAAGUCGCGUGUGAAAUCUCCCGGCUCAACCGGGAGGGUGCGCCGAAUACUGAGGGACUUCGAGUGCGGGAGAGGAAAGUGGAAUUCCUGGUGUAGCGGUGAAAUGCGUAGAUAUCAGGAGGAACACCGGUGGUGUAGACGGCUUUCUGGACCGUAACUGACGCUGAGACACGAAAGCGUGGGUAGCAAACAGG